UUUUAUAGUAUCGUUAUUAAUAGGUAUAGCACUGAAUAUCUAAUAUAAUUAAAAGAGAGUACGAAAGUAUUUUUCUUAGAUAUUUAAUCUCAGAAUGAUUAAUAUACGAAGUAAAGGGUCAGACUUUAUGCGAUAAGGUAUAAAGUCGAGAGGGAAACAGCCCAGAAUAAUAAUUAAAGCUCCAAAGUUAUUACUCAGUGAAAUAAAAG
rnacentral:rRNA from 1 species